rnacentral:rRNA from 1 species
UACGAAGGGGGCUAGCGUUGCUCGAAUCACUGGGCGUAAAGCGCACGUAGGCGGCUUUUUAAGUCAGGGGUGAAAUCCUGGAGCUCAACUCCAGAACUGCCUUUGAUACUGAGAAGCUUGAGUCGGGAGAGGUGAGUGGAACUGCGAGUGUAGAGGUGAAAUUCGUAGAUAUUCGCAAGAACACCAGUGGCGAAGGCGACUCG